GAUGAAGAACGCAGCGAAAUGCGAUACGUAAUGUGAAUUGCAGAAUUCAGUGAAUCAUCGAAUCUUUGAACGCAUAUUGCGCUCUCUGGUAUUCCGGAGAGCAUGCUUGUUUGAGUAUCAGUAAACACCUCAACUUCCAUAUCUUUUUUGAAAUGGGAGUUGGACUUGAGUGAUCCCAACGCUUUUCCUCACCGAAAAGUGGCGGGUUACUUGAAAUGCAGGUGCAGCUGGACUUUUCUCUGAGCUAUAAGCAUAUCUAUUUAGUCUGCCUAAAAAACAGAUUAUUACCUUUGCUGCAGCUAACAUAAAGGAGAUUAGUUCUUGUGCUGACUGAUGCAGGAUUCACAAAGACAGGCUUCGGCCGACUUUGUAAACUCGAUCUCAAAUCAAGUAAGACUACCCGCUGAACUUAAGCAUAUCAAUAAGCGGAGGC
rnacentral:misc_RNA from 1 species